AGAGUAAGGCGGAUGAGUCGGAUAAUUGGGGGGCUAACAAGAGUUAUGUUCCGUCUGAGAGGAAGUAUGAGAGGCAAAAGAUUGGGUUUGAGUUGAGUGGUGGGGCCGAUUCUGAUAAUUGGGGGAAGAAGAAGGAAGAGGAAGGGAGAAAGUUUGGUGCUUUUGAUAGUUUAAGGGAGAGGAGAGGGGGUGGGUUUGAGAGAGAUGAGAGUUGGGGGAAGAAGAGGGAGGAUGUGGGGAGUGUUAGGCCUAAGCUUAAUUUGCAGCCGAGGAAGAUGCCCAUUGGUGAGGAGGCGCAGAAUGGCAGUGUUGUUAAGCCAAAAGGGUCGAAUCCUUUUGGUGAUGCUAGGCCUAGGGAGGAGGUCUUGAAGGAAAAGGGUCAGGAUUGGAAGGAGGUUGAUGAAAAGUUGGAGUCUUUAAAGUUAAAGGAAAAGGAGGCAAUAAGUGAUGGACCUGGUUUUGGGAAGAGAAGUUUUGGUAGUGGGAACGGGCAGAGUGGUGGAAAUGGUGAUAGGUCUGAGAGGAGCUGGAGGAAGCUUGUUGAUGUGGAUGUUCGUCCGCAGAGGUUGGUCAAUUGCAUCUUUUAAGUUUAUAUAAUUUUAGUGUAAUCAACUUGAGAAGAGUAACAGUUCUUGUUUGAAAACAUUUUAAGUGCAUGUGUAUAAGUAUGUUAUCGUUUUGGGAGAUAAUGGUACAGUUUUUUUUUUUUUUUUGCUGGUAGGAUAUAAUAGGUGUCCAUUUAAAUUGUUUUGCACUUAAGCUAGACAUCAUAGUUUAUCUGAAUUCAGUUUUGUGAUGCUCUUAUAUGAUUGAUGAGGUGGAACCUUUAACACUUGAAAGUCUUUAAAGUAUGUCAUGUUUGGUGUACACUUCAGAGGUAAAAUUAAUCAAAGAUUAAUGUGCCUGUAGUUAUGAUUUUUUUAAAGAAAGCCUCACAUCCAACUUUUUUUAGUUUCAGUUAAAAAUGUCGGUUUUGAGUUGCUAGUUCUAAGUUUACCAACUGACCAAUCUAUUAACCAACCUAUAGGCUCAGCCAAAGAAGCAAACGCCAACUAAAGUCAGUCCGCCUUGGAACAAAUUAGACUUAUAAAUUACAUGCCAAUGGUUACGAUACAAUAGUUAUGACUCAAGGUUUUGGUAUGCAACCUGAAUGAUGGAACAAGAUAAAUUGUUAGUUGUGUGCAUAGUCAUACAUAUUUCAGAUGAGAGAAAAGUUCCAAGCUUCGAAUAUUGGUUUUGGUUGUUUGUCUCUUCGUUACUUUCUAAUUUGUAUUGUCUAGUAUAUUUCACAUGCUUUAUCUCAUUGACUGUAGCUCCCUAAUUAUAAGUAGUCUACUGCUAGAAGUUAACAGUUAUCUUAUGCGGCAAGAGUGCAAGACUCACUGUAGACCAUUUAUUAUUGGAAAUACGGAUUGGCUCUGUGAACAUUAAGACAGUCUAUUACCAGUAGCUGUUCUUAUACCGAUGCCUUCUUCACCAAUGUACCAAUGUACCUUAUUUUUUAGUCUUUGCAACUCAUAUAGUGAGAUGAUAUACAUUACAUGUAUUUACAUAUAAAUUUACGUGACUUGUGUGAUGUUUGAGAACUUUAAACUUUACCUCUUCACACUAAUUACGUAAGCAUUGUACUCAUUUUACUCUUUUUGCCCUUGAAUUGUCACUCUUUAAGUUAUUUGAUGUGAGCAUCAUAGGUUUGGUAUUUGAUGAUCUAGAAAUUUUGAGCUGUGAUGAGAAGUAUGAUUUGAUGUACUUAUAUCUUCUAUCCUUUGUUAUAGCUUUCAUUCUGUUGUAUUUGUGCCCCCCCCCCAAAAACUUGGACUAGGGACGAGUAUGUGUGGAUUCUAUUUGCAAAUAUAAGUAUGUAAAUGGCCCUCUUUUUUUUGUUCGUGCGAUGAUUGUAUUCUCUUGCUUGCUCAGAGGACGGAGCAACAAGUUUAUCUUUGGNGAUGCCCAUUGGUGAGGAGGCGCAGAAUGGCAGUGUUGUUAAGCCAAAAGGGUCGAAUCCUUUUGGUGAUGCUAGGCCUAGGGAGGAGGUCUUGAAGGAAAAGGGUCAGGAUUGGAAGGAGGUUGAUGAAAAGUUGGAGUCUUUAAAGUUAAAGGAAAAGGAGGCAAUAAGUGAUGGACCUGGUUUUGGGAAGAGAAGUUUUGGUAGUGGGAACGGGCAGAGUGGUGGAAAUGGUGAUAGGUCUGAGAGGAGCUGGAGGAAGCUUGUUGAUGUGGAUGUUCGUCCGCAGAGGUUGGUCAAUUGCAUCUUUUAAGUUUAUAUAAUUUUAGUGUAAUCAACUUGAGAAGAGUAACAGUUCUUGUUUGAAAACAUUUUAAGUGCAUGUGUAUAAGUAUGUUAUCGUUUUGGGAGAUAAUGGUACAGUUUUUUUUUUUUUUUUGCUGGUAGGAUAUAAUAGGUGUCCAUUUAAAUUGUUUUGCACUUAAGCUAGACAUCAUAGUUUAUCUGAAUUCAGUUUUGUGAUGCUCUUAUAUGAUUGAUGAGGUGGAACCUUUAACACUUGAAAGUCUUUAAAGUAUGUCAUGUUUGGUGUACACUUCAGAGGUAAAAUUAAUCAAAGAUUAAUGUGCCUGUAGUUAUGAUUUUUUUAAAGAAAGCCUCACAUCCAACUUUUUUUAGUUUCAGUUAAAAAUGUCGGUUUUGAGUUGCUAGUUCUAAGUUUACCAACUGACCAAUCUAUUAACCAACCUAUAGGCUCAGCCAAAGAAGCAAACGCCAACUAAAGUCAGUCCGCCUUGGAACAAAUUAGACUUAUAAAUUACAUGCCAAUGGUUACGAUACAAUAGUUAUGACUCAAGGUUUUGGUAUGCAAC
rnacentral:lncRNA from 1 species